rnacentral:rRNA from 1 species
UACGUAGGGGGCAAGCGUUGUCCGGAUUUAUUGGGCGUAAAGAGCGUGUAGGCGGUCUGGUAGGUCCGUUGUGAAAACUCGAGGCUCAACCUCGAGACGCCGAUGGAAACCAUCAGACUAGAGUCCGGAAGAGGAGAGUGGAAUUCCUGGUGUAGCGGUGAAAUGCGCAGAUAUCAGGAGGAACACCGGUGGCGAAGGCGGGUCUCUGGGCCGAUACUGACGCUGAGGAGCGGAAGCAUGGGGAGCGAACAGG